UGUCCGGAUUUACUGGGCGUAAAGGAUGCGUAGGCGGACAUUUAAGUCAGAUGUGAAAUACCCGAGCUUAACUUGGGUGCUGCAUUUGAAACUGGGUGUCUAGAGUGCAGGAGAGGUAAGUGGAAUUCCUAGUGUAGCGGUUAAAUGCGUAGAGAUUAGGAAGAACACCAGUGGCGAAGGCGACUUACUGGACUGUAACUGACGCUGAGGCAUGAAAGCGUGGGGAGCAAACAGG
rnacentral:rRNA from 1 species